rnacentral:ncRNA from 1 species
CAGUAUAAAAGGCAAAUCCGUUGAAAAGCGGGGACGCAAAGCUAUGGGUCUAAGGCGGAAUGCCGCUAUGACAGCCGGUUGCCAAA